GUCCGAUGAUGAGUUUGCCAUGCUAAUACCGAGAUGUCACACCUUGUGGCUCUGCUGCCUGGCGCUGGAUAUCGCUGAGUUCAGCUAUUUCGCCCGUCAUGUUUGACAGACUGAGGACA